rnacentral:rRNA from 1 species
GCGGACGGGUGAGUAAUGUCUGGGAAACUGCCUGAUGGAGGGGGAUAACUACUGGAAACGGUGGCUAAUACCGCAUAACGUCGCAAGACCAAAGAGGGGGACCUUCGGGCCUCUUGCCAUCAGAUGUGCCCAGAUGGGAUUAGCUUGUUGGUGAGGUAACGGCUCACCAAGGCGACGAUCCCUAGCUGGUCUGAGAGGAUGACCAGCCACACUGGAACUGAGACACGGUCCAGACUCCUACGGGAGGCAGCAGUGGGGAAUAUUGCACAAUGGGCGCAAGCCUGAUGCAGCCAUGCCGCGUGUAUGAAGAAGGCCUUCGGGUUGUAAAGUACUUUCAGCGGGGAGGAAGGUGUUGUGGUUAAUAACCACAGCAAUUGACGUUACCCGCAGAAGAAGCACCGGCUAACUCCGUGCCAGCAGCCGCGGUAAUACGGAGGGUGCAAGCGUUAAUCGGAAUUACUGGGCGUAAAGCGCACGCAGGCGGUCUGUCAAGUCGGAUGUGAAAUCCCCGGGCUCAACCUGGGAACUGCAUUCGAAACUGGCAGGCUUGAGUCUUGUAGAGGGGGGUAGAAUUCCAGGUGUAGCGGUGAAAUGCGUAGAGAUCUGGAGGAAUACCGGUGGCGAAGGCGGCCCCCUGGACAAAGACUGACGCUCAGGUGCGAAAGCGUGGGGAGCAAACAGGAUUAGAUACCCUGGUAGUCCACGCCGUAAACGAUGUCUACUUGGAGGUUGUGCCCUUGAGGCGUGGCUUCCGGAGCUAACGCGUUAAGUAGACCGCCUGGGGAGUACGGCCGCAAGGUUAAAACUCAAAUGAAUUGACGGGGGCCCGCACAAGCGGUGGAGCAUGUGGUUUAAUUCGAUGCAACGCGAAGAACCUUACCUGGUCUUGACAUCCACAGAACUUUCCAGAGAUGGAUUGGUGCCUUCGGGAACUGUGAGACAGGUGCUGCAUGGCUGUCGUCAGCUCGUGUUGUGAAAUGUUGGGUUAAGUCCCGCAACGAGCGCAAC